rnacentral:tRNA from 1 species
GCGAGUGUAAUUCAAUGGUAGAAUUCCAGCCUUCCAAGCUGGCAGCGUGGGUUCGAUUCCCAUCACUCGCUCCA